GACGAACGCUGGCGGCGUGCUUAACACAUGCAAGUCGAACGGUAAGGCUCCAGCUUGCUGGGGUACACGAGUGGCGAACGGGUGAGUAACACGUGGGUGACCUGCCCUGCACUUCGGGAUAAGCCUGGGAAACUGGGUCUAAUACCGGAUAGGACCAUGGUGUGGAUACUGUGGUGGAAAGUUUUUUCGGUGUGGGAUGGGCCCGCGGCCUAUCAGCUUGUUGGUGGGGUAAUGGCCUACCAAGGCGGCGACGGGUAGCCGGCCUGAGAGGGUGGACGGCCACAUUGGGACUGAGACACGGCCCAGACUCCUACGGGAGGCAGCAGUGGGGAAUAUUGCACAAUGGGCGGAAGCCUGAUGCAGCGACGCCGCGUGGGGGAUGACGGCCUUCGGGGUGUAAACUCCUUUCACCAUCGACGAAGGGUUUCUGACGGUAGAUGGAGAAGAAGCACCGGCUAACUACGUG
rnacentral:rRNA from 1 species